rnacentral:lncRNA from 1 species
UUUGAACCUGUAAAUAUGGUAGGACAAGAGAUGAGCUUCAAGAAGAUACCCGACUUAAGUCUUCAAGAUGAUCUACAAGGUUACUACGGCAGAGGAUAGCAUGGGAAGUGCUUUGGAUAGGCAGUGCUGUGGUGGAUUUGUAGAAGUUUUCCAGUACUUCACUUUUCUGUCACUGAAAGGAAAAGUUUCAUGGAUGCUUAUGAUACUUUUGCUCUCGAGGUUACAAUUUUUCUAGCACAGUUACAGGCUACUGAACCUGGUGUUAAGCUGUGUGUUAGUCUGUUGGAACAGUUACAGUAGUCAAGUGACUGAGUCAGGCUUAUUUCACUUUUAGUUCUCAUCACAGAUGUAACAGUGACUGUCACUAUGCUAGUCUACUUAAUUAUUAUAAUAGUGUGUCGAUGUGCUCUGUCUUUGUCAUUCAAGUAGCAGCUGUUAUUUAAACGAACUUGACAAUGUAUGUGUUAUCUUAACUGUUUCUAGUGUGUGUAAAUAAUGUUGCAGUGUAUGCAGUCUACUUCCAAACUUCAUUCAACAACUCUACAGUGACUUUCAAGAUGCUGUAUUGCUUGAUAUAGGAUAUUUAGGCUAUACAAUCAAAUUCGAAACAUCGUCUGGUAUUGGGAUUUAAAAAAUUGUAACUAGAACAAAUGUUAUAUGGAUGUGUAGCUCAACUCCUUAUGAAUCUGUUUCU